ensembl:lncRNA
AGGCACGGCCGUCAGUGGGUCCUCUGGGUUAAACCUCUCAGAUGAGCAUCUGUCCUCUCCAAGGUGUGAAAUCAUACUUGGCAAAAGGCAUCUCAAGCCCCAGAACCCUCAGUCAGAGCCGUCGCGUUUUUCGUCCACACACAGUAAAGAUAGCUGUGAAAACUGCAGUCUUCACCAGAUUUCUGCCGCUGAAAUCGCUGGGCCAGACUAGGACGUCCCUGAAGCCAGGCCCUGCGUGUGCGUCCAGGAGCAGAGGAGGCCAGCGGCCCGCUCCCACCUGGAGGGGGCCCAGAAAACGGCGCCUGGAUGCCUCAGAGACCUCCCGAGUCCCCUUGCUCUUCCUCGUCUCCAUCUCAGCCUUCGCCACCCUCGCUGUCUAGACGGAGCCAACAAUCUGACUGUGUAAUUAAGCCGUGCGGUCACCCUGGAGA